AGUAUCCAGGGAUGGGAAUCGAACCCACAGUGUUCCGCUUACUGGGCAGAUGCCAUGUCCACUAGGUUUAUCAUUAC